GCAGGGGGAGCAACAUGAAGUCACAGACCCAGGUCCUCAUAUCCCUGCUGCUAUGGGUGUCUGGUGCCUGUGCAGAUAUUGUGAUGACUCAGUCUCCAUCCUCCCUGGCUGUGUCAGCAGGAGAGAAGGUCUCCAUCAGCUGCAGGUCCAGUCAGAGCCUUUAUCACAGCAGCAGCAAAAAGAACUUAUUGUACUGGUACCAGCAGAAACCAGGACAGUCUCCUAAGCUGCUGAUCUACCAUGCAUCCACUCGGUAUAAGAUUCUGUUGGGAGUGGCUGCAUUGUCUUCUUCUGUGGCCUGUGACUAGGAUCAGAAGGAAGGAAAAGAAGAGCUCCCCUAUCAGGAGACUUGGGAAGGAGCAUGCAUGUAGAGGGUAGAGGAAGAGAGCGAUUGGGACUGGAGGAGGGACGGAACCACA